AACCAUGGGCCACAGUUAAGAAUAAUGGGUUGGCCAUUUAGAAAGGAGAUGAGGAAAAAUAUUUUCACCCAGAGAGCUGGGAAUCUGUGGAAUUCUCUGCCUCAGGCAGUGGAGGCCAAUUCUCUGCAUGCUUUGAAGAGAGAGUUAGAUCGAGCUCUUUAAGAUAGGGAUAUGGGGAGAAGGCAGGAACGAGGUACUGAUUGUGGAUGAUCAGCCAUGGAUAGAGUCGAGGGAGGAGGUAUGGGGACUGGUGUUGCAUCAACUCAUCAACUGUAUGGUUCACUCAUUCCUUCCACCCCCACCAAACUCUUCCCAGGUACCUUCCCCAGCAACGGAUGAGGGAACAGUCUCAGCGGAAGGCGGAAAGGGGUGGAGAUGGGAAGAUGUGACAAGUGGUGGAAUCCCGUUGGAGGUGGCCAGAUUGUUGAAGGAUUAUGUGUUGUAUGCGACGGUUGUUGGGGUGAAAGCUAAGGACUAGGGGGGAUUGUCCCUGUUGUGACUAGGGAGAGGGGGAGCAAGGGUGGAGCUGCAGGUUGCUGAGGAGACAUGCAAUUCAAGGUAGAUGUGCUAAUCGAGAAAGGCUUUUUUUCUGUAUGAUUGCGUUGAAACACAGAGAGGAGACAAGUUUUGCAUUGCACUGUUAUUUAGGUAAUUUGGAAUUUUAAUACUGUAACAUUAGGUGCCACGUAUAACAAACACCUGCCAGAACUUUGGGUAAUUUCCUGACAGAUGACGCCACUUUAACCCGUUAAACAAAUGUAAUACCUUUAUGAAGAUGUUUUUCAUCCAAUGUCUUACAAUGCUGAUACAUUAUGGAAAUGCUGCUGGAUUCUAUCCCUGUGAUGGACUUGGUGUCAUUAACACUAUGUGUGCUGAUUCCAUGGAUGUCUGUAUCAGGAUGAUGAGUAUGGAAAGACGGAUUAUAUUUAAUAUUCCCACUCCCUUUGAGGUAUUCUGGCUUCCCUUAUCUCAUGGAUGAAAAUAAACAAUGCAGAUGAUGGAAAUGUGAAAUAAAAACAGAAAAUACCGGGGACAUCAGGCAGGUCGGGAACAUCUUUUGAAAAUGAAAAGAAGUAAAUGUUUCAGGUCAAAUACCAUUAUUCAGAAUUGGGAAAUGAAGAUAAAUAAGGUUGCUUUAAGCUACAGACAAGGAGAAGGGAUGGAUGGAAAAUGGGGGACAUCAGUGGAAGGAAGAGACCAGUGAAGUGGGUUCAGAGGGCCACAGGCAGUUGGCCAUUUAGAAAGGAGAUGAGGGAAAAUAUUUUCACCGAGAGAGCUGGGAAUCUGUGGAAUUCUCUGCCUCAGGCAGUGGAGGCCAAUUCUCUGCAUGCUUUGAAGAGAGAGUUAGAUCGAGCGCUUUAAGAUAGGGAUAUGGGGAGAAGGCAGGAACGAGGUACUGAUUGUGGAUGAUCAGCCAUGGAUAGAGUCGAGGGAGGAGGUAUGGGGACUGGUGUUGCAUCAACUCAUCAACUGUAUGGUUCACUCAUUCCUUCCACCCCCACCAAACUCUUCCCAGGUACCUUCCCCAGCAACGGAUGAGGGAACGGUCUCAGCGGAAGGCGGAAAGGGGUGGAGAUGGGAAGAUGUGACAAGUGGUGGAAUCCCGUUGGAGGUGGCCAGAUUGUUGAAGGAUUAUGUGUUGUAUGCGACGGUUGUUGGGGUGAAAGCUAAGGACUAGGGGGGAUUGUCCCUGUUGUGACUAGGGAGAGGGGGAGCAAGGGUGGAGCUGCAGGUUGCUGAGGAGACAUGCAAUUCAAGGUAGAUGUGCUAAUCGAGAAAGGCUUUUUUUCUGUAUGAUUGCGUUGAAACACAGAGAGGAGACAAGUUUUGCAUUGCACUGUUAUUUAGGUAAUUUGGAAUUUUAAUACUGUAACAUUAGGUGCCACGUAUAACAAACACCUGCCAGAACUUUGGGUAAUUUCCUGACAGAUGACGCCACUUUAACCCGUUAAACAAAUGUAAUACCUUUAUGAAGAUGUUUUUCAUCCAAUGUCUUACAAUGCUGAUACAUUAUGGAAAUGCUGCUGGAUUCUAUCCCUGUGAUGGACUUGGUGUCAUUAACACUAUGUGUGCUGAUUCCAUGGAUGUCUGUAUCAGGAUGAUGAGUAUGGAAAGACGGAUUAUAUUUAAUAUUCCCACUCCCUUUGAGGUAUUCUGGCUUCCCUUAUCUCAUGGAUGAAAAUAAACAAUGCAGAUGAUGGAAAUGUGAAAUAAAAACAGAAAAUACCGGGGACAUCAGGCAGGUCGGGAACAUCUUUUGAAAAUGAAAAGAAGUAAAUGUUUCAGGUCAAAUACCAUUAUUCAGAAUUGGGAAAUGAAGAUAAAUAAGGUUGCUUUAAGCUACAGACAAGGAGAAGGGAUGGAUGGAAAAUGGGGAACAUCAAUGGAAGGAAGAGACCAGUGAAGUGGGUUCAGAGGGCCACAGGCAGUGAUUGUGACUAAGCCAUAAGUCACUAGAAAAUGAUGACCACACCUCCUCCAACACUGCUUCUUGCAAGGAUGCCAUUCCUUCAAUUUAUCUGUCUCCGCUGCAUCCACUACUGAGCUGAGGCUGUGUCUCCUCUGCGUAACACAGCUUUGCUCUCACUCCUCCUCCCCCAAGACAGGACAAGGAUAUUUUCCCUGGUGUUCUUCUUUCACCCCACCAGCCACCACCUCAGAAAACAUCAAUACACCAUUCUCCGCCAUUUCCCACCACCUGCAACAUAAUCACGCCACUAAUCACAUGUUCCUGUCCCCACUCCUUUCCACUUUCCACGGAGACCACUCAUUCCGCAACUCCUUGGUUCACUCAUCACUUCCCUCCCACUCAAGCCCCUCCCCAAGUGCUCUUCACUGCAAACGCAGGUGAUGUAACCACAAGAGAGGUUACAUCACCUGCGCAGGUGGGACGGAGGAUCACAUAUACCUCUUUAAACCUCAUCUACUACAUUUGGUGUUCGCAUUAUGGCCUUCACUACAAUCAGUUUGAAAAUGGAUGCGAGCAAAAACCUUGCCUAUUCAUGUUCUCCAUCAAUGCAGCCUGACUCACUGAGCUACAAUGUCACCUUAUAUUCUGUACAAGGUUCCAGCAUCUGCAGUUCCUUGUGUCUCUGGAAAGUGUUGAUGCUUGCUUGCCUGCAUUAUAAUCAUAUAUAACCAUAUAACCAUAUAACAAUUACAGCACGGAAACAGGCCAUCUCGACCCUUCUAGUCCGUGCCGAACACGUAUUCUCCCCUAGUCCCAUAUACCUGCGCUCAGACCAUAACCCUCCAUUCCUUUCCCGUCCAUAUAACUAUCCAAUUUAUUUUUAAAUGAUAAAAACGAACCUGCCUCCACCACCUUUGCUGGAAGCUCAUUCCACACAGCCACCACUCUGAGUAAAGAAGUUGCCCCUCAUGUUACCCCUAAACUUCAGUCCCUUAAUUCUCAAGUCAUGUCCCCUUGUUUGAAUCUUCCCUACUCUCAGUGGGAAAAGCUUAUCCACGUCAAUUCUGUCUACCCCUCUCAUCAUUUUAAAGACCUCUAUCAAGUCCCCCCUUAACCUUCUGCGCUCCAAAGAUUAAAGCCCUAACUUGUUCAACCUUUCUCUGUAACUUAGUUGCUGAAACCCAGGCAACAUUCUAGUAAGGUUUCGUCCCAAAACGUUGCCUAUUUCCUUCGCUCCAUAGAUGCUGCUGCACCCGCUGAGUUUCUCCAGCUUUUUUGUGUACCUUCGAUUUUCCAGCAUCUGCAGUUCCUUCUUAAACACUUCUAGUAAAUCUCCUCUGUACUCCCUCUAUUUUGUUGACAUCCUUCCUAUAAUUAGGCGACCAAAAUUGUACACCAUACUCCAGAAUUGGCCUCAGCAAUGCCUUGUACAAUUUUAACAUUACAUCCCAAUUUCUAUACUCAAUGCUCUGAUUUAUAAAGGCCAGCACACAAAAAGCUUUCUUUACCACCCUAUCUACAUGAGAUUCCACUUUCAGGGAGCUGUGCACAGUUAUUCCCAGAUCCCUCUGUUCACCUGCAUUCCUCAAUUCCCUACCAUUUACCAUGUACGUCCUAUUUUGAUUUGUCCUGCCAAGAUGUAGCACCUCACACUUAUCAGUAUUAAACUCCAUCUGCCAUCUUUCAGCCCACUCUUCCAACUGACAUAAAUCUCUCUGUAGACUUUGAAAAUCUACUUCAUUAUCCACAACCCCACUUAUCUUAGUAUCACCUGCAUACUUACUAAUCCAAUUUACCACACCAUCAUCCAGAUCAUUGAUGUACAUGACAAACAACAGUGGACCCUACACAGAUCCCUGUGGCACCCCACUAGUCACUGGCCUCCAACCUGACAAACAACCAUCCACCAUUGUUUAAGAAGGAACUGCAGAUGCUGGAGAAUCAGAAGAAGGGUUUCGGCCCGAAAUGUUGCCUAUUUCCUUCGCUCCAUAGAUGCUGCUGCACUCGUUGAGUUUCUCCAGCUUUUUUGUGUACCAACCAUCCACCAUUACUCUCUGGCAUCUCCCAUUCAGCCACUGUUGAAUCCAUCUUGCUACUCCACCAUUAAUACCCAACCAUUGAACCUUCUUAACCAACCUUCCAUGAGGAACCUUGUCAAAGGCCUUACUGAAGUCCAUAUAUACAACAUCCACUGCUUUACCCUCAUCAAUUUCCCGAGUAACCUCUUCAAAAAAUUCAAGAAGAUUGGUCAAACAUGACCUUCCAGGCACAAAUCCAUGUUGACUGUUCCCAAUCAGACCCUGUUUAUCCAGAUGCUUAUAUAUAUUAUCUCUAAACAUCCUUUCCAUUAAUUUUCCCACCGCUGAUGUCAAACUAACAGGUCUAUAAUUGCUAGGUUUACUCUUAGACCCUUUUUAAACAAUGGAACAACAUGCGCAGUACGCCAAUCCUCCGGUACUAUUCCCGUUUCUAAUGACAUUUGAAAUAUUUCUGUCAUAGCCCCAGCUAUUUCGACACUAACUUCCCUCAAUGUCCUAGGGAAUAUCCUGUCCGGAUCUGGAGACUUAUCCACUUUUAUAUUUCUCAAAAGUGUCAGUACUUCCUCUUCUUUGAAUCUCAUAGUUUCCAUAGCUACUCUACUUGUUUCCCUUACCUCACAUAAUUCAAUAUCCUUCUCCUUGGUGAAUAGCGAAGAAAAUAAAUUGUUCAAUAUCUCCCCCAUCUCUUUUGGCUCUGCAGAUAGCUGUCCACUCUGACUCUCUAAUGGACCAAUUUUAUCCCUUGUUAUCCUUUUGCUAUUAAUAUAGCUGUAGAAACCCUUUGGAUUUACUUUCACCUUACUUGCCAAAGCAACCUCAUAUCUUCUUUUAGCUUUUCUAAUUUCUUUCCUAAGAUUCUUUUUACAUUCUUUAUACUCCUCAAGCACCUCAUUUACUCCAUGCUGCCUAUAAUUAUUGUAGAUCUCUCUCUUUUUCCGAACCAAAUGUCCAAUUUCCCUUGAAAACCAUGGCUCUUUCCAAUUUUUACUAUUUCCUUUCAACCGAACAGGGACAUAAAGAUUCUGUACUCUUAAAAUGUCACCUUUAAAUGUCCUCCAUUUCUCUUCCACAUCUUUCCCAUAAAACAAACUGUCUCAAUUUACUCCUUUUAAAUCCUUUCGCAUCUCCUCAAAGUUAGCCUUUCUCCAAUCAAAAAUCUCAACCCUAGGUAUAGUUCUGACCCUCUCCAGAAUUAUAUUGAAACUAAUGGUAUUGUGAUCACUGUUAUGUAUUACUAAUAACCGGGCUGUGGGGCUUGCCCAGCAGGUCCGGCUGUACUGAUGGGCAGAGAGAAACUGGGCCAAUAUCACAGAUGGGUGAUUACUGUCGAAAUGGCCACUCUGAUACAGAGAGGAAUUGAGUUUGCUAAAGUUGACACUUUUACAACGGGUCUGGAAGACUCCACAUGACCAGAGGGAAGACGAGGUGUUGUCAUUCGUGCUACCAUUGGGUCUUGUUGUAAUUUCAGGAAACAACAAACCAGGGACACAGAGUGAAUGGGGUGAUGAAUUGAAGAUGGACUCGGGUCUUAGAGUCAGCAUAUCGAGGGUUAAUUAUUCCAAAAUCCAGCACAAGCUUGGAAAAAAACAAUAUUUGCAUGAUAUAUAAGAUGACUUCAUUUCUCAGCCACAAUAUUCAAAAUUAUCUAUGUAAAACAAUAUAAAGAGGAUUGAAUUUACUGUUCAACAGCAAAUCCAGCUGAAGGUGUGGAGAGUGACUGAGUGCACCAAACAGUGACCAAGAUGCUGAAAUUCUGUUUAACUCUCUCUGCCUUCCUUGGGCUUCAGGUUGCAGGAACAGGAGCAGAUGAUCCUGUGGCGGAUGUGUGUAAGAACAUAAUCUGUCCUCCAAGCUUGAAUGCCACUGCGCGUAAUGGUUAUGAUGAGGUACGUUUCCCAAAGCUGAAAUUCCUCUAUACAUUUGUUGAUGGAAUGGAUUUAACGGCUGCAACAGAUGUCGCACUGAACAGAUUUUUCAGCUAUUCAAGGUUUAAUAACGAUGCAGAAACAAUAGUCCCCAUCUCUGCGCCUUGGAUAGUUUACGUCCCACUUGAAGAUUCCAAGAUAGCGCCAAAAUUUUCAUUUUUUAUUUCACUGCCUCGCCAAAUCCAAAUUACAUCUGAAGCAACAAGUCCAGCAGUUCGUGAAGUCUUGCAUACUGAAAGGACAUUAUAUAUCAGGACAUUUCAACAAGCAAAUGGGGACUAUGGGAAGCUUGCCAAUGAAUUCAAAAAGGACUUGGAAAAUGACCAACAACCCUUUCACAGCCGAUAUUUCUACAUCAAAUGGUUCAACACAAAUGGCCUUGUGCAAAUUGCAUUUAGAAAGCAGGAAUAAAAUCUAUCUUUUAGAGGUUCUGUUACAUUUACAGAUUUCAAACAGUGAGAUGUGCUAAACUCUAUUCUUAUCUUUAACAAGGGUCUCCCACAUACAUCAACAUGUAUUUCUGUGGCAUCUUAAUGGAACAAAACCAGCUCUGGGUGAUUUACACACAUUGGACGAACCCUGUACAUUUGCCACUGUCAAGGUUUUGAAUCAUCCCCUGUACCCCGCAUAUAAACACUGCCCUUUAAUCCAGUUAACAGUUCCCACCUCCGACCCACAGGGCUGCGGUGAAGGGAGCUCACACUUCAGUCACAAUGAACCAGCUACUUUCACUCCAACGUGAGGCUUCCUUUUCCAUUCACUGGUUUGUAGUUUUACAUUCAUUGUUCACUGCUUUGAUCCUAUCAAGGGCCUCAAUCAAAGAUUCCCACCCAGUGUUCCACUGAUCGUCCAGUGCCUGAUAGACCCCAAAUGUGGGGCUGUGUCUUCCUGUCAUUCCCCGGGUGAAAUAUGUUGGGGAGUGACAUGGUCUUUCACCCCCACAACCAGAACUGGCUCCUGCUGUUCGGUUUAAGAAGAUUGACACAAAGUGGUGAAGCAACUCAGCAGUUCAGGCAGUAUCUCUGAAGCAAAAUGACAAGUGGUGUUUCUGGUCAAAACCCUUCUUCAGACAGUUUUAAAAUUGUUUAUAAUUACCUUCCCCUGAAUCCCAUGUUAUUUCCCAGUGUCCAAUGACCUUCUAGUUGUGUGGGUGCUGAGAAGCCAGACAAGAGGGUGAGAAAGAAUCAGUGAUAGGAAGCUCCAUUUUUAAACAGAUAGAUAGAUAGAUAGAUAGAUAGAUAGAUAGAUAGAUAGAUAGAUAGAUAGAUAGAUAGAUAGAUAGAUAGAUCCUUUAUUGUCAUUGUAAGGUUGAAAUCUGGAACUGUGGAAAAAGCCAUCCAGGAAUAUUUCUUUAAAAUCUCUACACUGCACAAAUACACAUGGGUCAGGAUCUCCUCUGAGCAACAGGAUGAAUCACCGUUGGAAUUUCCCUUUCCUCUAAUCUUGCUUGAAACAAUUUGUGUUCAGGCUGAGAAUUAGAUGGUUCUGAGGACAGGUACAGUAACAGCACAUGCUCUCUUCGUACUGGAGUCGGUAUGUUUAUCCCGAUGUUACUGGGCAGAACAGUGAAAGAUAAUGUGAAAAGAUCUGAUUGAAAAUGGGAAGAGAUGGGACCACAGAGCACUGGGGUUGUGGUGUGUGGAAUCAUGGAGGGAUCCAAUCUGGGAACGUGGACCUCACUCAGAGCUGGUUCCAGAAUACAAAAUAGUAAGUUAAUACUGAAAUUGUUAAGAUAUUGUAUGUAAGCCAUUUAUGAAAUCGCAAAACCUGGCCCUGGACUAUUGUUUCUGUUUUUUCAGCUGCACUUAGGAAGUUAAUAAGCUAUAAUCUUCAGAGUGUUGGCCUGUCUUUUGUUUUCCAAACUGCUGGGAAUGUAUUCUCACUGUGAAAUAAAGAGGGUGAUGCAUCACAACACUGGGUCUCCGUGUCGAUUUUUACUCAAAAACAGAAAUGGUCAGCAGAGUGAUAAGAUCAGAACUAUUAGCAGCUUCAACGUCUUUGACACUAAAUCGUGGAUGAUAUAUCUUGGGUUCUGCGCAUAGUAAUUAUGAAGAAGGCAUCAGUCUCUACUUCCUUUGAAGUUUAAAGAAUCUUGGUAUGUCACCAAAUAUUCUAACAAUUCUUGAUAGAUGCACUGCAGAGAGGAUCAUGUCUGGAUGCAUCAUGGCCUAGUAUGGCAAUUCUAAUGCACAGAAUUACCAGUGGCUGCAGAGCGUGGACUCAGUCCGGUCUAUCAUGGCUCUCCCCUCCCCACUAUCAUAAGCAUCUACAUGACGGUAGUCUAGGGUGGCACAGCGGUACAGUUACUGCUUGACAGCGCUUGCAGCGCCAGAGAUUCAGGGCCAAUCCCGUCUAUGGGUGCUGUCUGUAUGGAGUUGGUAUGUUCUCCCCGUGACCGCGUGGGUUUUCGCUGAGAUCUUUGGUUUCCUCCCACAGUCCAAAGGCGUACAGGUUUGUAGGUUAAUUGGCUUGGGUUUGUAUACUUGAUAUAAGUGUAAAUUGUCCCUAGUGUGUAUAGGCUUGUGUUAAUGUGCGGGGAUCGUUGGUCAGUGCAGACCUGGUGGGCUGAAGGACCUAUUUCCGCAGUGUAUUUCUAAACUAAAUUAAAGUAAAUGAGUUGCUGCCUCAUGAACGUAGAAUUUCGGCAAUUCACAAUGAGGUUAUCAUCAGAUGCACGGGUACAAUGAUGUAGUUACAAUGAAAAGCUGCAUCACAGGCAUUUCAACUCAUAACACAUACAAAAAUCAUAAAUUAUACAUAAAUUACAUCUAAAAAAUUGUGCAGGACAGUAAAAUGAAAUACAUCUUGUACAAAAUACACAAGAUAUUAAUUCAAAACAAAACUUGAUAAAAGACAAGUCCAGGCUGUGCAGGAGGUGCACCGUAGUAUUUCAUUGAUGAGGGAGGGUUAGAGUUUAGUUUUAGUUUGAACUGGACCAAGUGGGAUCCGUUGAGCCCCAUCCCCAAUGCAAUAAUCCACCACUCACCCGUUACCCCGACACAACCCGUUUCCACCACUCACCCAUUCCCC